rnacentral:misc_RNA from 1 species
GGCAUGUCAGACAGCCCUGUUAGAUCUGAUUAAUGCAUGUAUACAGGAACUCAAACGCUGCACCACUGCUAUUGAUGCUGAAGAGGUUACUGUGGAGAAUGCUAUAGGGAAAGCUUUUGACAAAAUCAUCAGGUUUCAGCUAGAUCCAGUGUGGCAUCAGCUUAGCUCCAAAACCAGACAGCUUGUAUCAGAUCUCAAAACUCUUAGGCUCAUUCUUAGGCACAUGACUCAGUAUGACAGUGUUACAUUUUUUAGCAUGGUAAAUUCUGUCAAAACAAAUGAAAAGGCAUUUGGACAGAACACUGGCUGGUUGUUUUUGGAUGCAGCAGACAGCUUAUUUGUGCAUGCCAAAGAAAGAGUCUAUGGUCCUGAAAAAACGCGAGGAGUUGACAAACAGAAAAAUGAAGAAAAAGAACCAGUAUUGGAAGAAAGUCCAAAAUGGGAGGCAUUGAGAGACAUUUUAAAGGAAAUCAAAAAAGAAAAUAAAAAUCUUGGAACAGAGGAGGAACCUGGGACAGUGCUUAUAGCAGCUGAGGAUGACCGGACUUGUAGCCAACUCAAAGAGAUGCUGUGUGAUGGACCCAGAAGCAUGAUGAUUAGAAUGUUCAACAAGUUCCUGGCCCAGAAAGGACAGAACCUGGAGGAUGAAGCUAAAAAAGCAAGGCAAGAAAAACUCGCCAAGAUUAAAUCACUGAAGAGGCAGAAGGCAAAACCUAGCGAGCUGACCCUCACUCAGAUGGUAGGGGGAGCCGAUAAAGACACGAACACAGAGUUCUAGAGAAGAAGACCCAUCCUUGUCAUCAUCAGAUGCAUACUAUGGCAUUGUGGAAGAACCUGUCACAAUUAUUCACCCCCUUCAUGGCGGUACAGACCCUAACGGCCUGACCAAGACCCUACAGGAGAUCCAGCCCCGAUACGUGGUCCUGUACGAUGUGGACAUGCAGUUUGUGCGUGAGCUAGAGGUGUACCGAGCCAGUCGUCCCAGGAGUCCACUGAGGGUCUACUUCAUGAUGUACACGGGCUCCGUGGAGGAACAGCGAUAUCUGACGACCCUCAGGAUGGAAAAAGAGGCUUUUGAAUACCUCAUUAAGGAGAAGGCUACUAUGGUAAUUCCAGAGGAAAGGGAGGGGAAAUCAGAAGAUGAUCCCAACCUUUCCAGGGGUACACUUCCUGCUAAUGCCACAGUUAACACUCGGAAAGGAGGGGGGCCAGUUGUCCCUGUUGAGCAAAGGGUAAUAGUGGACAUGAGAGAGUUUGGGAGUGAGUUACCAUCUUUGAUACACAAACGAGGCAUUGAAAUAGAACCUAUAACUUUAGAGGUUGGCGACUACAUUCUCUCGCCCGAUAUCUGUGUAGAAAGGAAGAGUGUCAGCGAUCUGAUUGGCUCCCUGAAUAAUGGACGCCUGUACAACCAGUGUGUUUCUAUGUGCCGAUAUUACAAGAAGCCUGUCCUUCUCAUUGAGUUUGAUGCCAAUAAAUCCUUUUCCUUACAGGUGAAGCAGUCCAGUGAGGUGUCCAUACAGGAUGUGACAUCACGCCUCGCCCUCCUCACCCUUCACUUUCCCAAACUACGCAUCCUCUGGUGCCAGAGUCCUUACGCAACUGCCGAACUGUUUGAGGAGUUGAAGGCGGGGAAGCCCCAGCCUGAUGCAGCCACUGCCCUGGCGGUGGGAACCUCAGAAGGGGGAGACCUGGAGUGGUCAGACAAGUACAGUCAUGGACCCCAGGACUUUUUGCUGAAGAUGCCAGGUGUCAAUGCUAAGAACUACCGUUUGAUCAUGAACAGAGUGGAGAGUUUGUCUGCGCUGUGUGACUGCUCCCUGGAGCAGCUUACGGAGAUCAUGGGGAGUCAGCCUCACGCCAAACAGCUGCACGACUUCCUCCACACCAAGCCUGCAGAGUCCACAGACAAACCAGCAAAACCAGCCAAAAGUGACUUCAAACGAGGGUUCAAACGGAAACGUUGAUAAACCAUGUGUUAAUUGUUAUUCUUGGAUUUUGAAGGCCUUUGAAAUAUACCUCACUUCAAGUACAGGAUCUCUAACGGGAAAUGAUGCCAACAUGCUCAGAAUAAGAUUCUGAGAUAAUUUAUUUAUUGCUGUCAAGACAUAUUGUCUUUUGAUUUUCACCCGAUUUUCUAUCAAAAUAAAAUAUAAUCUUGCUAUCAAUU